rnacentral:rRNA from 1 species
GAUAAACGCUGGCGGCGCCCAUAAGACAUGCAAGUUGAACGGACUUAAUCGAAAUAUUUAUAUUUUGAAGCGGUUAGUGGCGGACUGGUGAGUAACGCGUAAGGAACCUGCCUAUUAGAGGGGAAUAACAGUGAGAAAUCAUUGCUAAUACCGCAUAUGCCAUAGAUAUCACAUGAUAACAGUGGGAAAGGAGCAAUCCGCUAAUAGAUGGCCUUGCGUCUGAUUAGAUAGUUGGUGGGGUAACGGCCUACCAAGUCGACGAUCAGUAGCCGGACUGAGAGGUUGAACGGCCACAUUGGGACUGAGGUACGGCCCAGACUCCUACGGGAGGGAGCAGUCGGGAAUAUUGCGCAAUGGAGGAAACUCUGACGCAGUGACGCCGCGUAUAGGAAGAAGGUUUUCGAAUUGUAAACUAUUGUCGUUAGGGAAGAGAAAGGACAGUACCUAAGGAGGAAGCUCCGGCUAACUACGUG